rnacentral:rRNA from 1 species
UACGAAGGGGGCUAGCGUUGCUCGGAAUUACUGGGCGUAAAGGGCGCGUAGGCGGAUGUUUAAGUCGGGGGUGAAAGCCCGGGGCUCAACCUCGGAAUUGCCUUCGAUACUGGACAUCUUGAGUACGGGAGAGGUGAGUGGAACUCCGAGUGUAGAGGUGAAAUUCGUAGAUAUUCGGAAGAACACCGGUGGCGAAGGCGACUCACUGGCCCGUUACUGACGCUGAGGCGCGAAAGCGUGGGGAGCAAACAGG